UACGGGGGGGGUAAGCGUUGUUCGGAAUUACUGGGCGUAAAGGGCUCGUAGGCGGCCAACUAAGUCAUACGUGAAAUCCCUCAGCUUAACUGGGGAACUGCGUCCGAUACUGGUUGGCUUGAAUCCGGGAGAGGGACGUGGAAUUCCAGGUGUAGCGGUGAAAUGCGUAGAGAUCAUGAGGAAGACCAGUGGCGAAGGCGGGUCUCUGGACAGUUCCUGACACUGAGACACGAAGGCCAGGGGAGCAAACGGG
rnacentral:rRNA from 1 species